ensembl:snRNA U6 U6 spliceosomal RNA
AUAUUCACUUUGGCAUCACAUAUAUGAAAACUGGAACAAGAGAAGAUUAGCAUAGCCCUGCACAAAGAUGACAGAAAUCUGGGAAUCUGCAAUGGCAGUGUUAU